rnacentral:lncRNA from 1 species
GCUUCUGCACUGCAUGAGCACGCUGAAAUCCAGACAGCAAAAAGAGACCUAGAAACUGCUUUCCAGAGAGCAAAAGAUGAGUGGUUUCGUUUGAAGGACAAGAUGAAUUUUGAUAUGUCUAACCUCAGGGAUAACAACGAGGUCCUCUCCCAACAGCUUUCUAAAACUGAAAGAAAGUUGAAUAGCCUCGAAACCGAGUUUCAUCACACACAGGGUGAGCUCAGAGAGAAGACGCUCGCUUUGAAGUGUGUGCAGAGAGACCUCAGCCAGACGCAGAGCCAGAUGAAGGAGGUGGAGCACAUGUUUCAGGACGAGCAAGGGAAGGUGAAUAAAUACAUGGGAAAGCAGGAGUCCAUAGAGGAGAGGCUGGCUCAGCUGCAGAGUGAGAACACGCUGCUCCGGCAGCAGCUGGACGAUGCCGCCAACAAGGCCGAGAGCAAAGACAGGACGAUAGUGAGCAUCCAAGA